AUUGUGGACUCGUAUGAAAGGCAAAAUGAGAGCCCGACUGUCUCUUAUAACUAAUCAAUUAAACUGAUCCCCCAGUACAAAAGCUGAGAUACCACCAUAAGACCAGAAGACCCUGUGAAGCUUUAACUAACCUAUUAAACCCAAUAAUAAUUAAUUUCGGUUGGGGCGACCUUGGAACAAAAAAGAACUUCCAAUAUAUGACUUCAUCAUACAAAAGGCAAACAAGCCACAUUAGACCCAGUAUAUCUGAUUAAUGAACCAAGUUACUCCAGGGAUAACAGCGCUAUCUUCUUCAAGAGCCCAUAUCAAAAAGAAGGUUUACGACCUCGAUGUUGGAUCAGGACAUCCUAGUAAUGCAGCCGUUACUGAGGGUUCGUUUGUUCAACGAUUAACAGCCCUA
rnacentral:rRNA from 1 species